AACGAACGCUGGCGGCAUGCCUAACACAUGCAAGUCGAACGAGACCUUCGGGUCUAGUGGCGCACGGGUGCGUAACGCGUGGGAACCUGCCCUUAGGUUCGGAAUAACUCCCCGAAAGGGGUGCUAAUACCGGAUAAUGUCUUCAGACCAAAGAUUUAUCGCCUUUGGAUGGGCCCGCGUUGGAUUAGCUAGUUGGUAGGGUAAAAGCCUACCAAGGCGACGAUCCAUAGCUGGUCUGAGAGGAUGAUCAGCCACACUGGGACUGAGACACGGCCCAGACUCCUACGGGAGGCAGCAGUGGGGAAUAUUGGAAAAUGGGCGAAAGCCUGACCCAGCAAUGCCGGGUGAGGGAUGAAGGCUUUAGGGUUGAAAAGCUCUUUUCCCCGGGAUGAUAAUGACAGUACCGGGAAAAUAAGCCCCGGCUAACUCCGG
rnacentral:rRNA from 1 species